rnacentral:rRNA from 1 species
CCUACGGGAGGCAGCAGUGGGGAAUAUUGCACAAUGGGCGAAACCCUGAUGCAGCCACGCCGCGUGAAGGAAGAAGUCUUUCGGUAUGUAAACUUCUUUCAGCAGGGAAGAAAAUGACGGUACCUGUCUAAGUAGCCCCGGCUAACUACGUGCCAGCAGCCGCGGUAAUACGCAGGGGGCAAGCGUUAUCCGGAUUUACUGGGUGUAAAGGGAGCGUAGGCGGCGCUGCAAGUCAGAAGUGAAAGCCCGGGGCUCAACUCCGGGACUGCUUUUGAAACUGUAUGGCUAGAGUGCAGGAGAGGCAAGUGGAAUUCCUAGUGUAGCGGUGAAAUGCGUAGAUAUUAGUAGGAACACCAGUGGCGAAGGCGGCUUGCUGGACUGUAAAUGACGCUGAGGCUCGAAAGCGUGGGGAGCAAACAGGAUUAGAUACCCUGGUAGUC